rnacentral:lncRNA from 10 species
ACACAACAGAGGCCGCGGCGGCUUUGUUAGCCAGGCCGGGCACGGCCCAGAGGGAGCCCGCCUCGGCCACUGCCUUCGCAGCCAGCGCCGCGGCGCACACCCGGACCCCACCUCCCCACCCGGGCCGCCGCUACCCCUCGGCCUCCCUGCCGAAGCGGCGGCCUUUCAGGCCCUAGAUCCGGCCCGGCCUCAAGAGGCGACCUCCGUUCGGGCCCAUCCAAGCCGGGCCGCAUCCAGCCCGCCGCCUCCCUCUCCCUCUGCCCGGCGUCCACGACCCGCAGCGUCCGCCCGGGGUGAGCGGGGCGCCGCGUCUCACCGAAUUUAAGGCGAAGAGGAAAGAGCCAGAAAUCCCCGAUGUACCGGCAACUGCGGCGGUGUCUCCUCUGCGACCGGAACUAACGCCAGGAGGAGGGAGAGCAGCUUGUUUGGAACACAUGGAGUGGAGGAUGGAUAAUUUCCCAAAGGAAGAGACAGCAGUCAAAUAAAAACAACAGGAGCAUUACAUCAAGUCUUUGGGUUUAAAACAUUUUUUGGAUGAGAGGAGGCUGGAUGUUCCUGGCUCCUGGGGCAUGGGACUGUGUCAUUCCCUUCAAUUGACAACUGUGAAAAGAAGGCCAUUCGAACCCAUUCUGGCGUUGCUGGGCUCUUCACCGUGAAGUCCUCAGCUAUGUCUCUUUCUCUUCGCACUGCGGCCACAGCGUCAGCAAUGGCAAAGAACACAGAUGACCCCAGGAACAUCCCAGACUCCCCGAGGCCCUGUAAGAAGGCACAUUGGUGUAAGAAACUUCCAUACUACACUACAAGUUUCUAGAGGGUAGGGGCCAGGUCUCGUUCACCAUUGUGUCCCCAACCCCUGCACAGUGUUUUGUACACAAAAUCUUCUCAAUAAAUGUUUGUUGGCUGACUUACUGACUGAAUCAGAAGCUUG